rnacentral:rRNA from 1 species
UACAGAGGCCUCGAGCGUUAGGCGGAAUCACUGGGCUUAAAGCGUGUGUAGGUGGAGUUCUAAGUACCUUGUGAAAUCCCUCGGCUCAACCAAGGAAGUGCAUCCGAAACUGCUGAGCUUGAGUACGAAAGAGGAUCGCGGAAUUCCCGGUGUAGAGGUGAAAUUCGUAGAUAUCGGGAGGAACACCAGUGGCGAAGGCGGCGAUCUGGGUCGAUACUGACGCUGAGGUGCGAAAGCGUGGGGAGCAAACAGG